UACGUAGGGUGCAAGCGUUAAUCGGAAUUACUGGGCGUAAAGCGCACGCAGGCGGUCUGCUAAGUUUGGAGUGACAGUUGGUGGCUUAACUGCCAAAGUGCUUCGAAAACUGACAGACUUGAGGGCUUCAGAGGGACACGGAAUUCCGGGUGGAGUGGUGAAAUGCGCAGAUAUCAGGAGGAACACCAAUGGCGAAGGCAGCUCUCUGGGACGGUACUGACGCUGAGACGCGAAAGCGUGGGGAGCGAACAGG
rnacentral:rRNA from 1 species